GAGGGUAUAGCUCAAGUGGUAGAGCACGUGCUUAGCCUGCAUGGGGUCCUGGGUUCAAUCCCCAGUGCCUCCU
rnacentral:tRNA from 1 species